rnacentral:lncRNA from 1 species
UGGUAUUUAUUCAUAAUUUGGUUGCCGAAUCUCAUGCGUGCAAUGCACGUGUACCUUAGUACUCCCUCCGUCCUGAAAAACAAAAACAUGUCGCACGCGCAGUACAGUGAUGUUUUUGCGGAAAAGCCCUUGAACUUCUAAAGCUCAGACAAAUUAGUCCCCAUCUCGUUCUUCCUCCUCCGUCCGUCGCCCGCGCGGCGCCAUGGCCAGCCGCCCGUUGCCCGAGCAGGUCCUGCUCUGCCGACGAGCCCGCCCAGGAGGCCGCCCACAACAGGCCAUGCGCCGCCGACGAGCCCGCCCAGGAGGACCUCCGCUGCCUACCCACGAGCAGGGCCUCCGCCACCCACCGCCGUUGCGCUGGUCCACUUUGCCCCCGAUUCCGCCGUCCACCGCCGCCACGCUGGUCCAAUUUGCCCCCAAUUCUACCGCCCACCGCCGCAGCGCUGGUCCACUUCGCCCCCGAUUCGGCCGCCGCGCUGGUCCACUUCGGCCGCCGGCUACUGGUGGUGGUGGUUGUGGUCGACGGCCACUAACCCGCCCAGGAACAGGAUCUUAGUAAGAUUGUGAUCUCUUCGUACUGCUGUAAACAAAGAUUGUAAGAAGAUAUUAGUAAGAUUGAGAUCUUACUAACUAUUGUUGCAUGAGUAUUACUAAGAUCUUACUGAUUGUUGUUGAGCAUUCUGUACAACAACAACAACAUUGAUUUCAAAUUCGUUUACUGAAUUUAAAUGACGGGACUAACAGAAUUUGCUCAUGAUCAGAAACUGCUGAAAAUGCAGUGCCUACACCAUUCUAUACCAACCACACCACAAUUCAGAGAAAAAUGAAGCACAGAGCUACUCCCGACACACCACAAUUUACACAGGAUCCACCACAUUUUGGAGUAAUUUGCAGUAAGGAAUUGACAGCACUAAACAUCUUGGAAUUGACCUGCGAAGAAGAUGCCGCCGCUACCGUCGAGCUUGCAAGGGGGAGCCUUUGCUCUUGUCGUCUGGCUCGUCGCAAGGAGGAGUACAUAGUUUCAGACAAUACGUAUACCUGCGACUGGAAACGCUGCUGGACCCCAUGGAAGAACUGCUCCUCUGAUGGAGUACCUGAAAACACCCAGUUGUGUAAAGCCCAGUUCUGUACCUGAAAAUUCAGAUUGUGAAGAAUUUCCAAUCAAAGUCCAUACGAAAUUCCAAUCAAAGUACUCCAACUUAAAUGAUUCUGAAUAAAACAAGGUUCAGAACUAACAAGGUUCAGAAAUGUUGUCUCCAACUUAAAUUCAGAAUUCUACUCCUUACAGCACACCAGCGACAGAUCUUGACAUACCGGCACACCCAUCUCCUCAAGCUC